GGGUUGUGAGGUUAAGCGACUAAGCGUACACGGUGGAUGCCCUGGCAGUCAGAGGCGAUGAAGGACGUGCUAAUCUGCGAAAAGCGUCGGUAAGGUGAUAUGAACCGUUAUAACCGGCGAUGUCCGAAUGGGGAAACCCAGUGCAAUUCGUUGCACUAUCGUUAACUGAAUACAUAGGUUAACGAGGCGAACCGGGGGAACUGAAACAUCUAAGUACCCCGAGGAAAAGAAAUCAACCGAGAUUCCCCCAGUAGCGGCGAGCGAACGGGGAGCAGCCCAGAGUCUGAAUCAGCUUGUGUGUUAGUGGAACGGUCUGGAAAGUCCGACGGUACAGGGUGAUAGUCCCGUACACCAAAAUGCACAGGCUGUGAACUCGAAGAGUAGGGCGGGACACGUGGUAUCCUGUCUGAAUAUGGGGGGACCAUCCUCCAAGGCUAAAUACUCCUGACUGACCGAUAGUGAACCAGUACCGUGAGGGAAAGGCGAAAAGAACCCCGGCGAGGGGAGUGAAAAAGAACCUGAAACCGUGUACGUACAAGCAGUGGGAGCACCUUCGGGUGUGACUGCGUACCUUUUGUAUAAUGGGUCAGCGACUUAUAUUCUGUAGCAAGGUUAACCGUAUAGGGGGAGCCGCAGGGAAACCGAGUCUUAACUGGGCGUUAAGUUGCAGGGUAUAGACCCGAAACCCGGUGAUCUAGCCAUGGGCAGGUUGAAGGUUGGGUAACACUAACUGGAGGACCGAACCGACUAAUGUUGAAAAAUUAGCGGAUGACUUGUGGCUGGGGGUGAAAGGCCAAUCAAACCGGGAGAUAGCUGGUUCUCCCCGAAAGCUAUUUAGGUAGCGCCUCGUGAACUCAUCUUCGGGGGUAGAGCACUGUUUCGGCUAGGGGGUCAUCCCGACUUACCAACCCGAUGCAAACUACGAAUACCGAAGAAUGUUAUCACGGGAGACACACGGCGGGUGCUAACGUCCGUCGUGAAGAGGGAAACAACCCAGACCGCCAGCUAAGGUCCCAAAGUCAUGGUUAAGUGGGAAACGAUGUGGGAAGGCACAGACAGCCAGGAUGUUGGCUUAGAAGCAGCCAUCAUUUAAAGAAAGCGUAAUAGCUCACUGGUCGAGUCGGCCUGCGCGGAAGAUGUAACGGGGCUAAACCAUGCACCGAAGCUGCGGCAGCGACACUAUGUGUUGUUGGGUAGGGGAGCGUUCUGUAAGCCUGCGAAGGUGUGCUGUGAGGCAUGCUGGAGGUAUCAGAAGUGCGAAUGCUGACAUAAGUAACGAUAAAGCGGGUGAAAAGCCCGCUCGCCGGAAGACCAAGGGUUCCUGUCCAACGUUAAUCGGGGCAGGGUGAGUCGACCCCUAAGGCGAGGCCGAAAGGCGUAGUCGAUGGGAAACAGGUUAAUAUUCCUGUACUUGGUGUUACUGCGAAGGGGGGACGGAGAAGGCUAUGUUAGCCGGGCGACGGUUGUCCCGGUUUAAGCAUGUAGGCUGAUUGUCCAGGCAAAUCCGGAUAAUCAAGGCUGAGGUGUGAUGACGAGGCACUACGGUGCUGAAGUAACAAAUGCCCUGCUUCCAGGAAAAGCCUCUAAGCAUCAGGUAACAUUAAAUCGUACCCCAAACCGACACAGGUGGUCAGGUAGAGAAUACCAAGGCGCUUGAGAGAACUCGGGUGAAGGAACUAGGCAAAAUGGUGCCGUAACUUCGGGAGAAGGCACGCUGGUGUGUAGGUGAAGUCCCUGCGGAUGGAGCUGAGACCAGUCGAAGAUACCAGCUGGCUGCAACUGUUUAUUAAAAACACAGCACUGUGCAAACACGAAAGUGGACGUAUACGGUGUGACGCCUGCCCGGUGCCGGAAGGUUAAUUGAUGGGGUUAUCCGUAAGGAGAAGCUCUUGAUCGAAGCCCCGGUAAACGGCGGCCGUAACUAUAACGGUCCUAAGGUAGCGAAAUUCCUUGUCGGGUAAGUUCCGACCUGCACGAAUGGCGUAAUGAUGGCAGGCUGUCUCCACCCGAGACUCAGUGAAAUUGAACUCGCUGUGAAGAUGCAGUGUACCCGCGGCAAGACGGAAAGACCCCGUGAACCUUUACUAUAGCUUGACACUGAACAUUGAGCCUUGAUGUGUAGGAUAGGUGGGAGGCUUUGAAGCGUGGACGCCAGUCUGCGUGGAGCCAACCUUGAAAUACCACCCUUUAAUGUUUGAUGUUCUAACGUUGGCCCCUGACCGGGGUUGCGGACAGUGUCUGGUGGGUAGUUUGACUGGGGCGGUCUCCUCCCAAAGCGUAACGGAGGAGCACGAAGGUUAGCUAAUCCUGGUCGGACAUCAGGAGGUUAGUGCAAUGGCAUAAGCUAGCUUGACUGCGAGCGUGACGGCGCGAGCAGGUGCGAAAGCAGGUCAUAGUGAUCCGGUGGUUCUGAAUGGAAGGGCCAUCGCUCAACGGAUAAAAGGUACUCCGGGGAUAACAGGCUGAUACCGCCCAAGAGUUCAUAUCGACGGCGGUGUUUGGCACCUCGAUGUCGGCUCAUCACAUCCUGGGGCUGAAGUAGGUCCCAAGGGUAUGGCUGUUCGCCAUUUAAAGUGGUACGCGAGCUGGGUUUAGAACGUCGUGAGACAGUUCGGUCCCUAUCUGCCGUGGGCGCUGGAGAAUUGAGGGGGGCUGCUCCUAGUACGAGAGGACCGGAGUGGACGCAUCACUGGUGUUCGGGUUGUCAUGCCAAUGGCACUGCCCGGUAGCUAAAUGCGGAAGAGAUAAGUGCUGAAAGCAUCUAAGCACGAAACUUGCCCCGAGAUGAGUUCUCCCUGAGACUUUAAGUCUCCUGAAGGAACGUUAAAGACGAUGACGUUGAUAGGCCGGGUGUGUAAGCGCAGCGAUGCGUUGAGCUAACCGGUACUAAUGAACCGUGAGGCUUAACCUUACAACGCCGAAG
rnacentral:rRNA from 1 species